GACGAACGCUGGCGGCGUGCUUAACACAUGCAAGUCGAACGGUGAUGAUGGGGCUUGCCCUGUCUGAUCAGUGGCGAACGGGUGAGUAACACGUGAGUAACCUGCCCCUGACUCUGGGAUAACCGUGGGAAACGACGGCUAAUACCGGAUAUGAGACGUCCACGCAUGUGGAGCGUCUGGAAAGAUUUAUUGGUCUGGGAUGGACUCGCGGCCUAUCAGCUUGUUGGUGGGGUAAUGGCCUACCAAGGCGACGACGGGUAGCCGGCCUGAGAGGGCGACCGGCCACACUGGGACUGAGAUACGGCCCAGACUCCUACGGGAGGCAGCAGUGGGGAAUAUUGCACAAUGGGCGAAAGCCUGAUGCAGCGACGCCGCGUGGGGGAUGAAGGCCUUCGGGUUGUAAACCCCUUUCAGCAGGGAAGAAGCGAAAGUGACGGUACCUGCAGAAGAAGCGCCGGCUAACUACGUGCCAGCAGCCGCGGUAAUACGUAGGGCGCAUGCGUUGUCCGGAAUUAUUGGGCGUAAAGAGCUCGUAGCGGUUUGUCGCGUCUGCUGUGAAAUCCUGAGGCUCACCUCGGGCUUGCAGU
rnacentral:rRNA from 1 species